rnacentral:rRNA from 1 species
GGGAUUGCCUCAGUAACGGCGAGUGAAGCGGCAACAGCUCAAAUUUUAAAGCUGGCGUCUUUGACGCCCGCGUUGUAAUUUGGAGAGGCAUCUUCGGUUUGGGCGCCAGCCUAUGUUCCUUGGAACAGGACGUCACAGAGGGUGAGAAUCCCGUGCUUGGCUGGCUGUCCCUUUCCAUGUGAAGUGCCUUCGACGAGUCGAGUUGUUUGGGAAUGCAGCUCAAAAUGGGUGGUAAAUUCCAUCUAAAGCUAAAUAUUGGCGGGAGACCGAUAGCGCACAAGUAGAGUGAUCGAAAGAUGAAAAGCACUUUGAAAAUAGAGUUAAAAAGUACGUGAAAUUGUUGAAAGGGAAGCGCUUGAGACCAGACUCGGCCGGAGAUGAUCAGCCGUCCUUCUGGGCGGUGCACUUGUCUCCGGUCGGGCCAGCAUCGGUUGAGACGGCGGGAUAAAGGCCCGGGGAAUGUGGCUCCUUUCGGGGAGUGUUAUAGCCCCGGGCGCAAUGCCGCCAGCCUCGACCGAGGACCGCGCUUUUUGCUAGGAUGCUGGCGUAAUGGUCUUCAGCGACCCGUCUUGAAACACGGACCAAGGAGUCUAACAUCUAUGCGAGUGUUUGGGUGUCAAACCCUUGCGCGUAAUGAAAGUGAACGGAGGUGGGAACCCCUUCGCGGGGCGCACCAUCGACCGGUCCUGAUGUCUUCGGAUGGAUCUGAGUAGGAGCAUAGCUGUUGGGACCCGAAAGAUGGUGAACUAUGCCUGAAUAGGGUGAAGCCAGAGGAAACUCUGGUGGAGGCUCGCAGCGGUUCUGACGUGCAAAUCGAUCGUCAAAUUUGGGUAUAGGGGCGAAAGACUAAUCGAACCAUCUAGUAGCUGG